ensembl:lncRNA
CGUUUUUUUGCAGAUUGUUCUUGGAGAGCUUCAGUGCUCAGUACUUAGUAUAAUAAAUAAGAUGGGCCCUUAGGGCAUAAUAAUUAACCUAACAAAUGUUUAAGAAAGAUUUUUAACAAGUAAGAGCAGGUCUUGUCACUUCAAUGGUGUAAGAGAUUAUUCUUUUGCACUAUUGUCUCAAAGUUUGCUGAGGAACACUGAUGGACACAUCCUGGGCAAGGGCUGAGAAAUCUUUUGUCUGAAGGACACAGACGGUAAAGUCCGGACAAGUCCUUGUCAAAGUUGGCGAAAUCUUUUGUCUGAAGAUUUUACAAGCCAGGGGCAACGAGAGAGAGAUAAAUCGCAGCUUAAUGGCCGGGAAGCAGUCUUUUGUGUGGGUUUAUCUCGAGGGAGAUAGCCAUCUCGGGGGGGUACUGCACAUGGCUCUUACCCAAGCUUCUGCCACACUGGCAGAAGAAGAAGGAUAAAAAGGGGGCCAACAACCAAGAGAUUAGGUGUCAGACAUCAGAAGCCUUACGAGCUGAUGCCUGAAAGCUGAAGGACUCUCUUCUGGACCUGCUACCUGAGAUCUGCUGCUUCCUCCUGGACUUACCCAGCUGCUUGUUCCUGGCACCUGCUUGCAGCUUAAAGCCUGUCACGCUGCUGCUGCUCUCCCCCUGCGCUUUUGCCUCGGACAAUCGGAACAACAUACAACGGGACGCUGCUGGAUCUUGGUGCCUUCGAACUUCUUCCCCACAUGUCCCAGAAGAGGGAAGCGUGGUGCGAGGGGAAGCCCUGUCACUGUUGAUAUAAUCAAGUAAACAGCAACAAUGUGAUAAUACAAGAGAAAUGCAGAGGACUGGUAUUUUGUUUAGUGUCAGUGUGAGGACAAUGUUGGUAAUCUCUUUCAAAUUCUUUUCAAUAAAAACAAUCAACUAUUUGCAGGAAUAUUUGCCCUCUUGAUUUAGUGCAUGGUUCCCAGCUUAGAAUGCAGUUACAAAAUAUCUCUUUAAAAAAUAAUUCUUUAACAUCUGUAUUUUUAUAUGUAGUUGUUCUGAGUUUUAAAAUAUGUUCUGAUAAAGGAUCAUCCAGAUAUCUCUAAUAUCUGGUGACAAAAUUUUGUGCCAUAGCAUCAGUCAAAAUGAGACUCAGUCAAAACGUGACUCAGACAAAAUGUUUUGGUGUUGUAUCUACCAUAACACUGAUGAUAGAUGAGAAUUUUCUGUAUUUUGUCAUAUGGGCACAUAAAUCAUAAAAUAUGUCUUUAUACAUAUCAUGUUAUUUAGUGCACAUUUUCACCAACUACACCACAUGAUGCAAAGACGUUGAUACCAUACAUUUUCUGCAUUCUGUAGGCAUGGAGGAGUAUAAGAAGUUUGAUAGACAGCUAAGGAACAGGAGUCUCCUACAUCAGGAAGGAUACACACCUUGUAUACCAUCAUUUUUAGCACAUAUAUCUUCCUUAUAAGACAUGCACUCUAAAAAUUUGAAAUUUUGGCUUUGAUUCAGCAGUCAUUUGCUACUGACAGGGAUCUUGAACAAUACACCAGUCAACAAGUAGCAAUUCAAGUGCCCAGAAAUCUUAGACUGUGGGUAAUUUUACCAAUAAGUAAGCGAUGAUUUUAAAAAGCUAGAAGGAGACUUGGUAAUUCCCAAUACAUGUGAUGAUCUGAGCCUUAUGACUAGUCUUAUGUUAGCUUACAGUGAAGGAGAGAUUUCCCAGAGGUUUAUUGUUGUGGUUUAACCCAGCAGGUGGCUGAGCUUCAUGCAGUUGCUUGCUCACUCACUCCCCCUUUCCAAGUGGAAUGGGGGAGAGAAUCAGGAAAAAAAAAAAAAAAAAAAAAAAAAAGUAGAACUUAGUACAAAAAAAAGUAGAAUAAUGUACAGUACAGCUAAUUUUCAGAUGUCUGCUAACAUUUAAUUUAAAGCUUCACCAUUACUUUGUUUUUAUACAUCUUGUGUAAUCAUUUGACAAUUUUUUGAAAUGGUAGAUUAAUAUUAGUACGAAUGAGCUAGCAAGCUGUCCAAGGGUAAGUAGAAAGCAGAGGAAUGAGAAAGCCUGCUUAUGAAUAGUAAGCAAAAUAAAAACAAGUCAUGGUAAAGGAUUUAUUUAUUUUUUUUCUUUAAUAUUGCAUUGUAUAUAUUAACUGUGAAGCAAAUGACUGGAAAACAACAGUGAGCUAUUCAUGGUAUCAUGCUAAACUAUGGUAAAAAAUAAGCAUGUUUCCUAUUUAAAUGUUGAAGGUUUGAACAUUAUCUUUUAUUCUUCUCUGCGGUGGCAUGCAGAUCAAAAGAUGACAGUCACGUAGUAAAAUGCAUAUUUAUUAAUUUACAUUGUAGUAAUUUAAGCAAUUGUCGAAUAAUUUAGAUGUCUUGCAUAUAUUUACCUUCAUAACUGGGUUCUGAAAAUAAGAAGGCUAUAUUUGAACAGACUAUCAUGAAUGUGAAAAUAUAUUCCCAAAAAUAAGCAAAUUCAAGAAGAUUAUAUUGGUUUUGGUUUGCUUUGUUGUUUUAUUAUUUUAUCUUACUUUUUAAUUCAUCCUACCCGCAUAAGUGCCUAAGGAGAAUAUGCAGAGUCAUGUGCACUCCCUAACAGAUGCCUCCUAUUUUAAACACCACUGCCUAAUUAGAUGAGAACUGCACAAGGCAAAAUAGCAGAACCUGCAAGCAGAAUGAGGAACAUGUGGGAUUUACAUUUUUCAUUAGUCCAAAUCUGCACAUCCACUAACUCAAACAUUUUUGACCACAAGAUUAAAAAUCAGAAAAAUAUGAAAGAGUUAAGAGUUAGCAAAGGUAUCAGAGAUGAAUAUGAGGGCCUCAUCAGAGGCUGCCCAUUCCUAUUUCAGUUCUUUCUGCAGGUUGCUCUAAAUGCAUCUUGCUUGGUUCCCGACAGUGUUGUUCUCACUGAUGGAGAGUGAAGCCAGAAAGAAUAACCCUAAGGACAGUCACCCUAUUCCAGAAGAGAAAAAGAGUGUAAUGGACAAGGAGACUGUUCCCCCUCUGAUGAAAGAAAUCUACGUUAAAAAAAAAAGAAAGACUUUCAGAAGUAGGACUUGGAGGAUUAUACACAAUUUCAGGAUAACAAGGACUGCUGUUGUUUAAACAAGAAGCAAAAGAAACAACGGGAUGCCUACUGAACUCAAAACACUGAUGAAAUUUCCAUGAGAAUGGCCAACUUUGAGGAUUAAAUGGCAGCUAAUGUAACCUUAUUUUAAAAAGUUCUGUUUUGUUUUGUUUUAUUUUGUUUCCACUUUGAGUCUAUGAGACCUUGAAAUGUCAAGUUUACUCUUAUUAGUGUGUUGAUGUCAGUUAUGUUAGUGUGAUUGUAUAUGUAUUUCAGAGUAUGAUAGUUUUCUUCAAAAGAUUGUAAAGGAGAAAAAUAUAACAGAAACCACAAUUUAAUUCACUUUAUUAUAUGUAAAUAUAAGUAUUUUGUAGUAAUUAAUCUGAUACAGUAACUCAUCAUUAACUAUUGGGUAUGUGGUAGAUUUCCACAGAGAUUCAAGCAUUUUUUCUUGACGUUGCUACCAAACUCAAAAAUUAUACAAAAUCCUACUGAUUUUGUUCUAUCUAGAUUCCAACUAACUUAUUCCUAAUAUAAAUAAACAAAUAAAACAAACAGACAAAAAAAGCAACCCAAAGCCCCCAGAAUCCUAUAUGGCUUUUUAAAAUGUUUAUUUUAAAAAAAGAUUGAUUAAUCUUACCUGACAUUUUUUUAGCACAGAAGCUUCUAAAUAUAAUCAAGAGCACAAUGAGAACAAAUGUACUGUUAUAAAUUUGUACAUUAGUUUUUAAUGGAUUGUUCUCAUAAAUAUUUGGUGCAAUAAAAGAUCACAUAUUACUGAACAUUCUGUGCUUUUUUUUUUUUCAGAUUUGUUUGGUUAAAAUGAGGUCAAAGAGUAAAUUUGUUAACCUUCUAACAGCAUGCUUUUGACUAUUGAAUAUUAUUUGGAUCAUUGUCUUCUAUUUUAUUUUAUUAAGUACUUGCAGAAAUGCGUCCAGUUUUUCUUAUGAAACAGUACCCAACUUUGAUACCUGACAUGGUUAAGAUCAAUAUUUUCAGUAUAAAAGUAAUACAUGUGUAAAAUUGUAACAUUGAUGAAGAACAGCAGAAUAUGAACAAUGACACAUUGAGUUUUCAUUUGCAAUUCCUCAAAUUGUAAGUAUGUGAUAGUUAUUAUUUGUUCAUAAGUUCUGAAGAAUACUAAAGAUUUCACCUUCCUGAGUGAUGUAUUUUAUCCUGUAACUUUUUUUAAGUAGUUACAUAACAAAAUCACCUAAAAACUAGGUAUUUCCAAAAUGCAAGAAGCGAGUGCUGAUAUUUACAAAAGGAUUUAUUAGCAUGCUGCAAAAGAUUGAGACAAGUGAGCAGCUCAUUACUGAUUUAGUAAGAGAGAAUGACCGUACUUGAUGACCUUGCUAGCUUGUCUUUACCUAUGUAUCUUUUCUUACAUGUGAAACAGAUAAAUGUGAGAAAUGCCAUUUCAUGGACACAUAAGCAUAAUUGUUCUUACUUUUAGUCUUAAUGUGCCCAACAAUCUCCUUUCUACCUUCUCCUCAUGGGACUUUGGUAGAGAAAAAUGUCACUGAACAAGAAGAAAUAAACAAUAAUGCAAAGUUCUAGUUAAAAAAAAAGGAUGGGUUAUCAGAAAUGGUCAAUAAAGAUAUUCUUCCUGUACUAAGGAAUGCAGUUAUAUCAGUUAGAAGUGUUAUUACAGAAAUCCUUAUCAAUAUGACUUAAUAAAGACUCCUGUUAGGAAAGGGAAUGACUUGAAGGGAUUCAGCAGAGUUACCUGGAUAAGACAGUAUUAAUCUGUAAAGAAAUUUUCAAGAAUAGUGCAGAGGUUUUAUGAGUAUCUUAUAAAGAUGAAUCACUCUUUGUCUUUAAUUUAGGAUAGCUCCCUAUAUGUCACUAUCUGUUAGAACAUCAUGUCCAUUUUACAUUUGUAUUAUUUUCCUUUCUGCUUUAUGCUUGUCAGCACCUUGACAACACUAUCAGUCCCUACUGUUCCUGCCCAUCUCAGCCUUCCUCCAGCCUAAUAGUUGUCCAGACACUCCAUUUCUUCUGUCUAGGGCUCUCCUGCCCCAGCAAUGCCAUAGAAGGAACAGUCUGCAAGUAGCUUGUCUCUUACCCCAUCUCCUUUCGUUUCUUACUAGACAUACCAGCUCCAGUCUUGUCCCAUUUGGAGCACACUUAUUCUUGCUUCUCCCUGGUAAAUCUCCUAGCCCCAUCUCUUUACUACAGUAAUAAGGGUGUGAUUAGGUGUAUUCUGCCUUUGUAUUAUUUUUUUGACAAAUAAGAUAUUAUCCAGGAAAAAUAACUCUUACUCAACAUGUCUAUGCUGACAUAUUUGAUCAUUUUUAUGGUUUUAUUACUUUAAUUUACUUGUGUCCUGUCAACACUCCCAGAGGCACCCAAAAUGUGUAGAAAAAUACUUAAUACAAGCUUUAAUUUGAUAUUGUUUCUGUUACAAAAUAAAUCUUUUAUUUGUUCACAUUUUUUUUCUUUUUUAUUGUUUUAAUGGAAAGUGAAGCUUUUUGUGGAGAAUGUGUUUUAGGUUAAAUGCUGCUUGUGCAUUAUAUUCUUCUUUUAACUUUUUAACUUAAAAACGAUUCACUACGUAUUUAAAUUUUUUUCUUCAGACUAUGCACAUUUUAUAUUAAAAUAAUAGUUUACUGAUUCCAGUGCAGAGCAUUAGGGGACUACAGAUAUCUUUAUUAGAUUGUGUUAGGACAACAGAGUAUCCAUGGCAUGUCAACCAUUAAUAAGAAAUAAAUGUGUUUCAUAUCUCUAAGUGUAACAAUUUACUCUAUCAACUUUGUAGUUGAGUGAUUAUGUAUUUCUCUGGAAAUUUCAAUGCUGUUUUCUGAAAAACUACUGUCAAAAACACAACCUCUGUGAUACUGUCAGCAUGAAGAAACCUCUUUAUAUUUUACUUGAGAAGGUUCUCCUUAUGAAUUCUUUAAAGAGAAACAUAACCUUUUUAGCUGUGAAUAAUUAAAAGUUAUGAUAAAUCUAUUUAGGAAGCAUUCAAGGUAAUGGAUUUUCAGACAGGAGAGUAUUUCUGCAUAGGUUUUACUUCCAUGGCUUUUUUUUUUUUUUUUUUUUUUUUGUAGUUAAGGCCACAAAACACUUGUGUGAAAUUAUGUACAUAUGUUAUAUGUUAAUAAACAGAAAACAUAUAAAACUAGAUGUAAAAUAUUUCAAUUGUUAUGAAAGCAUAUAAUUUCUCUUCUACAUCACUACUUAACUUAAAAAGGAGAAAAAAGAAGUAAAUGUUUUCUGAUCCAUUGCUUUUGAGUUUUCUUUAAAAGAAGAAUACCUUUUUCUUGUCAAUAUUCUUCAUAAAAAGUAAAGAAAAUAUGUUCCUUUCAGCAUAAUGAACCCAUCCUUUUUAUUCUUUUCAAGAGAUUUUUAACAAUGUCAUUAGUGGGGGGAAGCUGAUUCAAUUGCCUUUUUAUAAAUUCAGAAUAACUAGUCACAGAAUGAAAAUUUAAAAGUAAUUUUUUCUGAAGCUAGAAGAAAUUCUUUAUAUCUAUAAGCAGAGCUAAAACAUACAUAUAUUUCUUUCCCUCUGUUUUCACCAUUAAUCCACCCUGUCCCACUAGUCUUUCCAUAAUGAACAUGAAGCACUAUACACAUAUGAUGAUGAGGUUACACAGAAGCUGAGGUGGCAGGAAAUUGAAGGACACAAAACAAUCAAUAAGGAGAAAUGUGGGUCUGAUGUUGUUCCUUCACUGAAAGAAAAAGAUCAUCUUCAGAAAAACCAGUAGAAGGUAAAAACCUCCUCAGUAUGAGUAGGAACAAUUGAAAAAGUACAGUAAGGGAGUAGAACUGAGGAACUGUGAUUCAAAAGCCUUUUUGGAAUCUUCACAUUGAUAGCUAUGAAACAUCCUUUAAUCAAUUUAUAAUAUUACUUUCUAAAUAGCACAGAGGAAUAAUUUCUAUAUUUUCUCCUUCCUUUAGGAACAUAAUAAUUCCUAACUUUUGCAGAGCUGAAUCUGGUACUACUUUUUCAAUCACAACACUUUAUUUGUUUAAUAAUUUCUUUUUGUUAUAUUUAAAGAAGGCCAAAACUUUAGUUUCUUUAUUUGAAAAUGUCUGUAGACAAAGUUAAAAAGGCAUUUAUUACCUAUACUUUUGUUCUUCAAUAUUUUUAUGUUAAUGUCACCUUAAUGAAGGAGUAAAUCCAUUGUAUAUAGCCUGAAAAUUUAUGAAGAGCCAGGUUUUCCUAUUGAUAAAUGCUCUUUGUUAAUGAUCCAUUGGCUUGUCCCAGGGGAAAUAAAUUAUAUUUAUUUAUUUCUGAACAAACAGAAUGAACAAAACCAGCAAACUGAAGUUAAUAGAACAAUCAUCAUCAUAUCAUUUUCAAAAGAAAUUAUUUGUAGAUAAUUCACUGGGUAAAAAUUAUUCUCAAUCUUAGAAUGAUAUUUGUUAGGGUAAUGGACCAAAACUACAAGAGUUACUAUGAAAGUAGUGUCUCUUAUUUUUUUAUGUUGUCCCACAACAUCAGAGGUGAAUGUUGACUGUAUGGCAAUAAAAGUUGAACCUUUGCACCAAUAUUCUGUUGCCUUGUGACAGACAGCAGCAGGGGCAAUCUGACAAAAUGGUGUCUGCCUUGAAAGUGUGUAUGAAGCAGAGGUAUGUGAUUGAAUUCCUCCAUGAAGAAAAAAUGGCACCCACUGACAUUUGUCAAUGCUUGCUGAAUGUUUAUGGAGACCAAACAAUGUAGGUGAGCACGGUGAAGCAGUGGGUGGUGUGUUUCAGCAGUGGUGACAGUGACAGUGGAUCACCUCUGCUUGUGAAGACUUUUAUGAGAGUGGCAUGCAGACUCUUGUUCACUGCUGGUGAAAAUGCAUAACUAACAGUGGUGACUUUGUUGUAAAAUAGUGCUUUGUAGAUGAGAACUUGCUCAAUCAAAUAGUGUAAUUGUGCUCUUUCUGUCUGUUGAAUUUUCCAUUGAAAUAAAAAGAACACGUUAUUUUUGGAGCUACAUACGUGGGUAAAGAAAUGUAUUUAAAAUCAUAUAGUGUUGGCUAAAACCUGUGAGCAAAGUUUUAGGGUUUUUGUUUGUUUGUUUGGUUGGUUUUCGUUUUUUUUUUCAGCUAAAAAUAACUCAGAUCCUUGGCUUUUGUUGGCCAAGGCCACUUGUUUUACUGUUCUAUGGGGUUUUGUACAGCUGCUUUGAGGAAAGUCAUAGGGAUCCCUCUUCCAGGAGACUAAUUUCCUAGAACUUCAGAAAGCUUUCACCAUAAGAUACCAAGAUUUCUUCUAUCCACCAUACUGUUUCUUCUUUUUGAGGUAAUAUGUUAAUCACUGUUUCACUUUCUGCAGAUAUUGUGUUACAGAAGGUCUCACAUUUUAACAGCUAACAUUCAAGUCUUAGUGCAAAAAUACUUUAACCAUUUUCUUACCUUAUGGAAAAACAUAGAAUCAAACUGAAUGAAUACUGGACCAAUGACUGUAGCAGAGAAUGAUCAUCUUUUUAUUGCAUAGAUUGGUGGGGAAUUAAAUAUUGACAGAAGAUGAGCCAGUGAAAUGGAAAUAGAGUUUUGACAAUACACACAGCUUCC